rnacentral:lncRNA from 1 species
UUGAACAGCUGCUCUGCAAGCUCCCACCCUGUGGAGUGUACUUUGAUCUUCAAUAAAUCUUUGCUUUCAUUGCUUCAUUCUUUCAUUGCUUUGCUGUGCAUUCUGUCCAAUUCUUUGUUCAAAAUGCCAAGAACCUGGACAAUUUGCAGUCAAGACCCUCCACCGGGAUAUGAACUUCCAAUUAUAUCAUUGGACUUGACUACUCCAUUUCUUUCCACAUUUAAAAAUCGAUCAGGGAGAAGCUAUUUUGAGAACUUAACACAGUAUUUAACAUGGGAUUUCUGAAUGAAGACAGUUUAUGGAUGAAUAAGGGCAACUUUGGUUCUUUUCAGAAGGUGCGUGAUCUGGAUGGCUGAAGUUGCUGAUUUUGGGGGGUAAUCUACAAGGAAAAGGUGAUGAAAAUACCAGAAACAGUCUGUAUCCUACUAUGUGGCUAACAUAUGAGGAAGUCUCAACAUGCAAACUUUGGCACACUCUCUCACCAAGUGAGUGGUUGGAGCAAGACAGUGUCUCGAGAUUGAAACAGAACACGAUGGAGCUGGAAGUUAUAGUUCUGAGAUCAUCAGGAAUCAGAGUCAAAUCAUUAACUAGUGAUUAUAUGCCACACAAGAAAUCCUCUCUGGGUUAGAAAUCUUAAAAUAAGAGGCUGUUAUAUACAUUUGUCGAGAUAAAAUUAUUGAUUAGUAUUUAUAAGACUUUGAUUUCAUA